UUUCAGCCAGGAUUGUCCGUGUUUGGUAUAAAUUCUUGUCCAUAAUAUAAAAGUAUUGAACUUUUAUCUUCCACUCUUCAAGAGUUGGUAUGCGGUCCAUCUUCCAGAUCUUUGCUAGGACCACUCUCGCUGCUACAAGUAAAUGAGUCAUUAAAUAUGCAUGUUUUUUCACAACAGGUUCAUUCGACAGUGCUGGACCCAGAAGGAUUUGAAGACUUUCCAUCCUUGAGAGCCAUGGUGCAAUUUUUUUGUAAAAUAUGUUUCUAUAUUUGAUCCAUAUAUUCAAUAAAGCUUUCCUGAUGAGAUGUUGAUUAAA